rnacentral:misc_RNA from 1 species
UUAAGUUCAGCGGGUAUCCCUACCUGAUCCGAGGUCAAACGUGAAAAAAGAGCUUAUGGUUGCCAUUAUUUUAGGGACCAAGACGCAAAAUGUGCUGCGCUUACUACCAAAACACUGGCUGCCAAUUACUUUAAGGCGAGUCUCCCCGCAAGGGAAGAGACAAACACCCAACACAAGCAAAGCUUGAGGGUACAAAUGAC